UGUGAAUGAGUUGUGGAUGCUUGGGCUAACGCUUGCACUGUUGUUCGAGCUUCCGUAAAAGCCGGCAUCGUUUCUGAGGAGCUGCACGGCAACGAGACUAACUCCUAUAAUGACGAGAGGGAACCUUGCCCAGCUGUUCAUUUCGGAUACAGAAGAUGAGGACUUUGAUGGACUUGUGGAUGAGGACUGAUCAAAAAAUAACAAGCUGAGCAGGACGUUGAUGAUGGAGCACGUGGCCCGUGAGACGCUUGGCUGAGUCGAUCCGAGGUGGGGUUUGGAUACUUCGACAGUUGGAUGUCUAUCAUCCAGCUGGGAUCAACAGAGCGCACAGCAGUCGUGACAAGUCCAGUCUGGAGCACGUCAAGAACAUCCUCAGUGAUGCACGGUCUUCUGUACUGCGCCGUGCUUCUUGUGGCCUCUGGACCAUUCCUAGCCCAGCCCAGCCCAUGACACAUUCUGCUGAGAUGCCCUAUCCCGUAUUUGAAUACAGCAUAAGAUCACUUUGGACCUGGCAGCCUUGAUCAAGAAUGAGGAGGAUUUCAUCAUUUCAUACUGAGAAACAUUGCACGACACAUUUCAAGAUCUUCUUGAUGGAGACAAAAGAACCUGCC